UGUCCCGAGCCCGUUCCUGAGCCCUUUUCUGGGUCAUGCCUCAUGCAAGCCUCUAUCUGGGUCUGCUCCCAGCCCUGAUCCGGCGCUGUUUCCUGAGUCCCUUUCUGGGCCUGUUCCGAGAGCCCCUUUAGGGCUCGAGCUCGUUUCCUGAGCCUCGCUUCCUACCCUUUCUGGUCUGCCUCUGAGCCUCUAUCUGGGUCUGCUCCAGCCCUGAUCCCGCGGCCCGUUCCUGAGUCCCGUUUUCUGGGCCUGUUCCCGAGCCCGUUCCUGAGCCCCUUUCUGGGUCUGCCUCUGAGCCUCUAUCUGGGUCUGCUCCCAGCCCUGAUCCCGGGCCCGUUCCUGAGUCGCCUUUCUUGGGCCUGUUCCCGAGCGCUUUCUGGGCCGCUGUUCCCUCCCGAGCCUCGUUCCUGAGCCCCUUUCUGGGGCCUGACCCUGAGCCUCUAUGUGGGUCUGCUCCGACCUGUCCCGAGCGCGUUCCUAGGCCCCUUUCUGGUCUGGCCUCUGAGCCUCUA
rnacentral:lncRNA from 1 species